rnacentral:rRNA from 1 species
CCUACGGGGCGCAGCAGUGAGGAAUAUUGGUCAAUGGGCUUACGCCUGAACCAGCCAUGCCGCGUGCAGGAAGACGGCUCUAUGAGUUGUAAACUGCUUUUGUACAAGGGUAAACCUGAAUACGUGUAUUCAGCUGAAAGUACUGUACGAAUAAGGAUCGGCUAACUCCGUGCCAGCAGCCGCGGUAAUACGGAGGAUCCAAGCGUUAUCCGGAUUUAUUGGGUUUAAAGGGUGCGUAGGCGGAUUGAUAAGUUAGAGGUGAAAUGUCCGAGCUUAACUCGGGAACUGCCUCUAAUACUGUUGAUCUAGAGAGUAGAUGCGGUAGGCGGGAUGUAUGGUGUAGCGGUGAAAUGCUUAGAGAUCAUACAGAACACCGAUUGCGAAGGCAGCUUACCAAGCUAUAUCUGACGUUGAGGCACGAAAGCGUGGGGAGCAAACAGGAUUAGAUACCCCUGUAGUC